rnacentral:rRNA from 1 species
UACGAAGGGGGCUAGCGUUGUUCGGAAUUACUGGGCGUAAAGCGUGCGCAGGCGGCUUCUCAAGUCAGGGGUGAAAGCCCAGAGCUUAACUCUGGAAUUGCCUUUGAGACUGAGAGGCUUGAGUACGGGAGAGGUGAGUGGAAUUCCCAGUGUAGAGGUGAAAUUCGUAGAUAUUGGGAAGAACACCGGUGGCGAAGGCGGCUUACUGGCCCGUAACUGACGCUCAUGCACGACAGCGUGGGGAUCAAACAGG